GAUGAACGCUGGCGGCGUGCCUAAUACAUGCAAGUCGAGCGAACAGACGAGGAGCUUGCUCCUCUGACGUUAGCGGCGGACGGGUGAGUAACACGUGGAUAACCUACCUAUAAGACUUGGAUAACUUCGGGAAACCGGAGCUAAUACCGGAUAAUAUAUUGAACCGCAUGGUUCAAUAGUUAAAGACGGUUUUGCUGUCACUUAUAGAUGGAUCCGCGCCGCAUUAGCUAGUUGGUAAGGUAACGGCUUACCAAGGCAACGAUGCGUAGCCGACCUGAGAGGGUGAUCAGCCACACUGGAACUGAGACACGGUCCAGACUCCUACGGGAGGCAGCAGUAGGGAAUCUUGCGCAAUGGGCGAAAGCCUGACGGAGCAACGCCGCGUGAGUGAUGAAGGUCUUCGGAUCGUAAAACUCUGUUAUUAGGGAAGAACAAAUGUGUAAGUAACUAUGCACGUCUUGACGGUACCUAAUCAGAAAGCCACGGCUAACUACGUG
rnacentral:rRNA from 1 species